rnacentral:tRNA from 1 species
GGAGAGAUGGCCGAGCGGUCGAAGGCGCGCGCCUGCUAAGCGCGUGUACCCCAAAAGGGUACCGAGGGUUCGAAUCCCUCUCUCUCCGCCA